CCCUACUGCUAUCGGGGUGGGACUAAGACAUGCUAGUCGAGCGCCUUGAGCUAUGGCGAGGCGCGGCGUACAGCUCAGUAACACGUGGCUAACCUACCCUUAGGACGGAGACAACCCCGGGAAACUGGGGCUAAUAUCUGAUAGGUGAGGAGGCCUGGAAUGGUUCUUCGCUGAANAGGCGUNGAAACCAUGCUUUUCAGCGUCGCCUAAGGAUGGGGCCGCGUCCGAUCAGGUUGUUGGUGGGGUAACGGCUCACCAAGCCUAUAACCGGUACGGGCCGUGAGAGCGGGAGCCCGGAGAUGGGCACUGAGACAAGGGCCCAGGCCCUACGGGGCGCAGCAGUCGCGAAAACUCCGCAAUGCGCGAAAGCGUGACGNGGCUACCCCGAGUGCCGUCCGCUGAGGAUGGCUUUUCCCCGGUGUAAUGAGCCGGGGGAAUAAGGAGAGGGCAAGUCUGGUGUCAGCCGCCGCGGUAAUACCAGCUCUCCGAGUGGUAGGGACGAUUAUUGGGCUUAAAGCGUCCGUAGCCGGCUUAGCAAGUCUCCCGUUAAAUUCAGCGACCUAAUCGUUGAGCCGCGGGAGAUACUACUAGGCUAGGAGGCGGGAGAGGCCGACGGUAUUCUCGGGGUAGGGGUGAAAUCCUAUAAUCCCGGGAGGACCACCAGUGGCGAAGGCUGUCGGCUAGAACGCGCUCGACGGUGAGGGACGAAAGCUGGGGGAGCGAACCGGAUUAGAUACCCGGGUAGUCCCAGCUGUAAACGAUGCGGGCUAGGUGUUGGGGUGGCUACGAGCCACUUCAGUGCCGCAGGGAAGCCAUUAAGCCCGCCGCCUGGGGAGUACGGCCGCAAGGCUGAAACUUAAAGGAAUUGGCGGGGGAGCACCACAAGGCGUGAAGCUUGCGGUUC
rnacentral:rRNA from 1 species